UACGUAGGGGGCCAGCGUUGUUCGGAAUUACUGGGUGUAAAGGGUUCGUAGGCGGUGUGGCAAGUUGGGAGUGAAAUCUCUGGGCUCAACCCAGAGACGGCUUCCAAAAACUGCCGUGCUUGAGUGUGGGAGAGGCUCGUGGAAUUGCAGGUGUAGCGGUGAAAUGCGUAGAUAUCUGCAGGAACACCCGUGGCGAAAGCGGCGAGCUGGACCACUACUGACGCUGAGGAGCGAAAGCGUGGGGAGCGAACAGG
rnacentral:rRNA from 1 species